CGGGGGGAGCAAGCGUUGUUCGGAUUUACUGGGCGUAAAGGGCGCGUAGGCGGCCGCCGCAAGUCGACUGUGAAAUCUCCGGGCUUAACCCGGAAAGGUCAGCCGAUACUGCGGGGCUAGAGUGCAGAAGGGGCAACUGGAAUUCUCGGUGUAGCGGUGAAAUGCGUAGAUAUCGAGAGGAACACCUGCGGCGAAGGCGGGUUGCUGGGCUGACACUGACGCUGAUGCGCGAAAGCUAGGGGAGCGAACGGGAUUAGAUACCCCGGUAGUCCUAGCCUUAAACGAUGAAUGCUUGGUGUCUGGGGUUUUAUAGUCCCCGGGUGCCGUCGCUAACGCUUUAAGCAUUCCGCCUGGGGAGUACGGUCGCAAGACUG
rnacentral:rRNA from 1 species